GACGAACGCUGGCGGCGUGCCUAAUACAUGCAAGUCGAUCGAAGCGGCGGAUGGGUGAGUAACGCGUGGGUAACCUGCCCUUAAUUCUGGGAUACCAUUUGGCAACAGAUGCUCCUCCCGGAUACUAACGGAUGGACCUGCGAUGCAUUAGCUAGUUGGUAAGGUAACGGCUUACCAAGGCGAUGAUGCAUAGCCGAGUUGAGAGACUGAGCGGCAAAAUUGGGACGGAGAAACGGCCCAAACGCCUACGGGAGGCAGCAGGAGGGAAUCUGCAACAAUGGAAGAAAGUCUGAUGGAGCAACGCCGCGUGAGUGAAGAAGGUUUUAGGAUCGUAAAGCUCUGUUGUUGGUGAAGCGGUAAUCAACCAGAAAGUCACGGCUAACUACGUGCCAGCAGCCGCGGUAAUA
rnacentral:rRNA from 1 species